AAACAUCCCACCUGUCCCAGAAGGAUCUGUUUUAACAGAUUCUCAGUGAAACAACUGAGGAUAAUGUGACACCUGAAAACCAGGCUUGCGGGAGGAAGAUAACUUUUUUCUCUGAGACUCCAGUGAUCUUCAGAUGAAGAUCAGCCACAGCUGGAGAGGUUCAUCUCCUCCUGUUUGACGUGUCUGUGUUUUCCUCAUGGGUCUGGAUGUCACACAGUACAGCAUCACGGAUCUGAGAAAAUAUGAGAAAAAAUGGGAAUGCGUCCAGAGAGCACGUUGUGUUUACACGAAUGAUCACACCUCAAACCUUGUGAAGGAGUACAUGGAUGUCAACUUUCACAUGACGAAGCCUCAGAUGCAAGACACAUUAGAAUAUGUAGUCAUAAAUGAAGGGGCAGAGGCCACAGACCCUUGAAGAUGUCUGUUUAUACCCUUAUGUUUUGAAAGCCUGUAUUUUAUCAUUUAUUUUUAAUUAAAGGCAAG